rnacentral:rRNA from 1 species
UAAGGGAUAUUGCGACAAUGGGCGAGAGCCUGACGCAGCAACGCCGCGUGCGGGAGGAAGGCCUUCGGGUUGUAAACCGCUUUUGAGGGGGAAGAGGAAGGACGGUACCCUUCGAAUAAGUCUCGGCUAACUACGUGCCGGCAGCCGCGGUAAAACGUAGGAGGCGAGCGUUAUCCGGAUUUACUGGGUGUAAAGCGCGUGCAGGCGGUGGGACAAGUUAACUGUGAAAGCGCCCGGCGCAACCGGGCGAGGACAGUUAAGACUGUUUUACUGGCGGCAGGUAGAGGUGUGUGGAAUUCCGGGUGUAGUGGUGAAAUGCGUAGAGAUCCGGAGGAACACCAGUGGCGAAGGCGACACACUGGGCCUGGACUGACGCUCAGACGCGAAAGCAUGGGG